rnacentral:rRNA from 1 species
GACGUAGGGCGCGAGCGUUGUCCGGAUUUAUUGGGCGUAAAGAGCUCGUAGGCGGCUUGUCGCGUCGGCUGUGAAAACUCGGGGCUCAACCCCGAGCCUGCAGUCGAUACGGGCAGACUAGAGUGCUGUAGGGGAGACUGGAAUUCCUGGUGUAGCGGUGAAAUGCGCAGAUAUCAGGAGGAACACCGAUGGCGAAGGCAGGUCUCUGGGCAUUAACUGACGCUGAGGAGCGAAAGCAUGGGGAGCGAACAGG